UUCACUUGACUAAUUUUCAGGUCACUUGACAUAGUUGGCAUGGCCCACCCUCUGUUUGGUUGUAAGUGAAGUUGAUCUAUGUACUUUCAUAUGACAUGAUAUUUUAGAGGUUAGGCCAAUUAUCUGUCCUCUCCCAUUAACUUUUUCUUCUCUUUGAUUUGUCUGGAUGUUGUUUCUGCACGUAUCAUCUUCCAGGCCGAUUUAGUAGUGAAAAAUCUUUAUCUUAUUCUAUUGAUAGAAAUAAUGAGGUAGUGGCAGGUGAGUGCUGUGAAGAAGGUAAUUGCUGCAAUGAUUGUUGGGAAAGAUGUUUUGUCGCUGUUUAUAGAUGUUGUAAACUGCAUGCAAAUAGAGAAUCUGGAGCUGAAGAAGCUUCUAUAUUUAUACCUUAUAAACUAUGCUAAAAGCUAACCUGAUCUAGCUAUAAUUGCUAUGAAUAUGUUUGUGAAGGUGCACAAGUUGGGAUGGAUUGGACUUCUAUCUUGAGAAAAUGCCAUGAUUUCAGAUGCAUUGAGGUCGGAAAGCCUCGAGCUUGUGCAACCUAGCUCUCUUACAAUCUAACACAGGCCUAGAUAGAAGGUGUGCAAUAUCCAAGCUUUCCAUCAGUUGGUUCCCCACUUCUUGAUGCCACGAUCCAAAAAUCAGGCAAGUCCACUCCAUAUGCUUAUUCAAAGUGUAAGUAACUAUAUAGAGUGUAGGCUCCGGGGUCCACAAUGCUUACAUGGAUGCAUGAUCAAAGCUACUCAUUAGUUUUAUCCUUGAAGAAAAAGGGAAGAAAAACCUGUCCACAUAUUUAUAAAAAAAAAUUCCAUAGCUAUUCUCCUCCAUCUACUAGUUAUAGGUGGAGCAUUGGUAACAGUGGGGGGCUUUGCUACUUCGUAUGGGGAUGGAUAUGGACUUCAUUCGGGUGGUGCUGACAAAGGUCCUCUAUAUGCAUGAGUUCUGGUUCUUGGGGUGCAUUUGAGAAGUCUUGCCUUGGGCGUCGCUGAAGUCUGUUGAUUUUUUUUUCCUUCUGCUUUUUCUUGUGUCUCAAUCUGUAAAUUUUCUGUCCAUUAUGUAACCUUUCAUUCUCAGGUCCCCUGUAAAUGAGGCUGGUUGUAAAUGAUUUACAGGUUGUGUUUGAAUGCUAAUUUAAGCCUGUAAAGGUCUUUUGAUUUAGAA